GACGAUGCGUAGCCGACCUGAGAGGGUGAUCGGCCACAUUGGAACUGAGACACGGUCCAGACUCCUACGGGAGGCAGCAGUGGGGAAUAUUGCGCAAUGGGGGAAACCCUGACGCAGCAACGCCGCGUGAGUGAUGAAGGUUUUCGGAUCGUAAAACUCUGUCUUUAGGGACGAUAAUGACGGUACCUAAGGAGGAAGCCACGGCUAACUACGUGCCAGCAGCCGCGGUAAUACGUAGGUGGCAAGCGUUGUCCGGAUUUACUGGGCGUAAAGAGUAUGUAGGUGGGUGCUUAAGUCAGAUGUG
rnacentral:rRNA from 1 species